UGACAGUCCAGGGCUCCGAGAGGAAAGCACCAGCCCAGAGAGAGAGAGAGAGAGAGAGAGAGAGAGAGAGAGAGAGGGGGUAGAGAGAGAGAGCCAGUGUGAAAGCAGGGGGGUUGCCAGUUUUUAAUCCCAAUCCCACACUUCAAGAAAGUGCCUCUCCAUUUCAGCGAGGAUGGAGGACGCACACAUGAAAGAGUCGCCGGACGUUCUGUCCUACUUUGGCGUCACUGAAGAAAUCGGCCUUUCAACUGAUCAGGCCAAGAAGAACCAGGAAAGAUAUGGCUUCAACGAGCUGCCAGCAGAGGAGGGAAAGACUGUCUGGGAGUUGGUGGCGGAACAGUUCGAGGACCUGUUGGUCAGAAUCUUACUGCUGGCCGCCGGCAUCUCUUUCGU